rnacentral:rRNA from 1 species
GACGAACGCUGGCGGCGUGCUUAACACAUGCAAGUCGAACGGAAAGGCCCUGCUUGCAGGGUAUUCGAGUGGCGAACGGGUGAGUAACACGUGGGUGAUCUGUCCUGCACUCCGGGAUAAGCCUGGGAAACUGGGUCUAAUACCGGAUAGGAGCCAUCCUUAGUGUGAUGGUUGGUAAGUUUUUUCGGUGUGGGAUGAGCUGCCGGCCUAUCAGCUUGGUGGGGGGGUAAUGGCCUACCAAGGCGGCGAAGGGUAGCCGGCCUGGGAGGGUGGACGGCCACAAUUGGACUUGAAAACAGGCCCGACUCCAACAGGGGGCAGCAGUGGGGCAUCUUUCAAAAUGGGCGGAAGGCUGGUGCAGGGAAGGCGCGUGGAGGGUGACGGGCCUCGGGGUGUAAACUCCUUUCCCCAGGGAACGAACUGUUAGUGACGGUACCGAGAAAAGAAGCACCGGCUAACUACGUG